GACGAACGCUGGCGGCGUGCUUAACACAUGCAAGUCGAACGAAGAGCGACGGAAGCUUGCUUCUAUCAAUCUUAGUGGCGAACGGGUGAGUAACGCGUAAUCAACCUGCCCUUCAGAGGGGGACAACAGUUGGAAACGACUGCUAAUACCGCAUACGAUCUAAUCUCGGCAUCGAGGAUGGAUGAAAGGUGGCCUCUACAUGUAAGCUAUCACUGAAGGAGGGGAUUGCGUCUGAUUAGCAAGUUGGAGGGGUAACGGCCCACCAAGGCGAUGAUCAGUAGCCGGUCGGAGAGGAUGAACGGCCACAUUGGGACUGAGACACGGCCCAGACGGCUACGGGAGGCAGCAGGGGGGAAUCUUCCGCAAGGGACGAAAGUCUGACGGAGAAACGCCGCGUGAGGGAGGACGGCCGUCGGGUUGUAAAGCUCUGUUAAUCGGGACGAAAGGCCUUCUUGCGAAUAGGGAGAAGGAUUGACGGUACCGGAAUAGAAAGCCACGGCUAACUACGUG
rnacentral:rRNA from 1 species